UACGGGGGAGCAAGCGUUGUUCGGAGUUACUGGGCGUAAAGGGUGUGUAGGCGGCUUUGCAAGACAGAUGUGAAAUCCCCGGGCUCAACCUGGGAACUGCAUUUGUGACUGCAAGGCUAGGAUGACGGUAGAGGGGGAUGGAAUUCCGCGUGUAGCAGUGAAAUGCGUAGAUAUGCGGAGGAACACCGAUGGCGAAGGCAAUCCCCUGGACCUGUACUGACGCUCUGCAC
rnacentral:rRNA from 1 species